rnacentral:rRNA from 1 species
AGCGAACGUUUGCGGCGGGCCUAACACAUGCAAGUCGAACGAGAUCUCGGGCUUCGGUCCGGGUGAAAGUGGCGCACGGGUGCGUAACACGUGGGUAAUCAACCCUUUGGAUCGGGACAAACCCGGGGGAAACUCGGGCUAAUACCGGAUACGUCGUCGGAGCUCUAGGGCUCUGACGGGAAAGGCCUGCAAGGGCUACCAGAGGACGAGCUCGCGGCCCAUCAGCUAGUUGGUGAGGUAAUGGGCUCACCAAGGCGAAGACGGGUAGCUGGUCUGAGAGGAUGAUCAGCCACACUGGAACUGAGACACGGUCUAGACUCCUACGGGAGGCAGCAGUGGGGAAUAGUUGCGCAAUGGGCGAAAGCCUGACGCAGCCACGCCGCGUGUGCGAUGAAGGUCUUCGGAUCGUAAAGCACUGUGGGGGGAGAAGGGACAAAGCUGGUGAAGAGCCAGCCCUGACGGUAUCCCCUUAGCAAGCACCGGCUAACUCCGUGCCAGCAGCC